GGUGAGUAACACGUGAGCAACCUGCCGGGAAGCCCGGGAUAGCCCUCCGAAAGGAGGAUUAAUACCGGAUGUGGCCACCCUGCGAUUGCGGGGGAAGCUAAAGGAUUUAUUCACUUCCCGAGGGGCUCGCGGCCCAUCAGCUUGUUGGUGAGGGUAACGGCCCACCAAGGCGACAACGGGUAGCUGGUCUGAGAGGAUGGUCAGCCACACUGGAACUGAGACACGGUCCAGACACCUACGGGUGGCAGCAGUCGAGAAUCAUUCGCAAUGGGGGAAACCCUGACGAUGCGACGCCGCGUGGAGGAUGAAGGCCUUAGGGUUGUAAACUCCUGUCAAGAGGGAAUAAGCAAGUGAAGGUACCUCUAGAGGAAGGGGCGGCUAAUUCCGUGCCAGCAGCCGCGGUAACACGGAAGCCCCGAGCGUUGUUCGGAUUCAUUGGGCGUAAAGGGUGCGUAGGCGGCGCGGAAAGUCCGGCGUGAAAGGCAGGGGCUCAACCUCUGGACUGCGUUGGAUACUUCCGUGCUUGAGGACUGGAGGGGAGACUGGAGUUCACGGUGUAGCAGUGAAAUGCGUAGAUAUCGUGAGGAAGACCGGUGGCGAAGGCGAGUCUCUGGACAGAUCCUGACGCUGAGGCACGAAGGCUGGGGGAGCGAACAGGAUUAGAUACCCUGGUAGUCCCAGCAGUAAACGAUGUGAGCUUGAUGUGGGGGGAUUCGACCCCUUCCGUGUCGAAGCUAACGCGAUAAGCUCACCGCCUGAGGAGUACGGCCGCAAGGCUAAAACUCAAAGAAAUUGACGGGGACCCGCACAAGCGGUGGAGUAUGUGGCUUAAUUCGAUGCAACGCGAAGAACCUUACCUGGCCUUGACAUGCAUUGUGUCGUCGGUGAAAGCCGGCUAGUCCUGGAAACAGGACGCUUUGCACAGGUGCUGCAUGGCUGUCGUCAGCUCGUGUCGUGAGAUGUUGGGUUAAGUCCCGCAACGAGCGCAACCCUUGUGGUCAGUUACUAACCGGCUUAGCCGGAGGACUCUGGCCAGACUGCCCUGUCAAACGGGGAGGAAGGUGGGGACGACGUCAAGUCAGUAUGGCCCUUAUGGCCAGGGCUGCACACGUACUACAAUGCCCGGUACAAUGUGAACCGAAACCGCGAGGUGGAGGAAAUCGCUCUUGAAAACCGGGCCCAGUUCGGAUU
rnacentral:rRNA from 1 species